rnacentral:rRNA from 2 species
AAUCCAUAGGUUAAUGAGGCGAACCGGGGGAACUGAAACAUCUAAGUACCCCGAGGAAAAGAAAUCAACCGAGAUUCCCCCAGUAGCGGCGAGCGAACGGGGAGGAGCCCAGAGCCUGAAUCAGCAUGUGUGUUAGUGGAAGCGUCUGGAAAGGCGCGCGAUACAGGGUGACAGCCCCGUACACAAAAGCGCAUGUGCUGUGAGCUCGAUGAGUAGGGCGGGACACGUGGUAUCCUGUCUGAAUAUGGGGGGACCAUCCUCCAAGGCUAAAUACUCCUGACUGACCGAUAGUGAACCAGUACCGUGAGGGAAAGGCGAAAAGAACCCCGGCGAGGGGAGUGAAAAAGAACCUGAAACCGUGUACGUACAAGCAGUGGGAGCACCCUUUGGGUGUGACUGCGUACCUUUUGUAUAAUGGGUCAGCGACUUAUAUUCUGUAGCAAGGUUAACCGAAUAGGGGAGCCGGAGGGAAACCGAGUCUUAACCGGGCGUUAAGUUGCAGGGUAUAGACCCGAAACCCGGUGAUCUAGCCAUGGGCAGGUUGAAGGUUGGGUAACACUAACUGGAGGACCGAACCGACUAAUGUUGAAAAAUUAGCGGAUGACCUGUGGCUGGGGGUGAAAGGCCAAUCAAACCGGGAGAUAGCUGGUUCUCCCCGAAAGCUAUUUAGGUAGCGCCUCGUGAAUUCAUCUCCGGGGGUAGAGCACUGUUUCGGCUAGGGGGCCAUCCCGGCUUACCAACCCGAUGCAAACUGCGAAUACCGGAGAAUGUUAUCACGGGAGACACACGGCGGGUGCUAACGUCCGUCGUGAAGAGGGAAACAACCCAGACCGCCAGCUAAGGUCCCAAAGUCAUGGUUAAGUGGGAAACGAUGUGGGAAGGCCCAGACAGCCAGGAUGUUGGCUUAGAAGCAGCCAUCAUUUAAAGAAAGCGUAAUAGCUCACUGGUCGAGUCGGCCUGCGCGGAAGAUGUAACGGGGCUAAACCAUGCACCGAAGCUGCGGCAGCGACACUGUGUGUUGUUGGGUAGGGGAGCGUUCUGUAAGCCUGUGAAGGUGU